rnacentral:rRNA from 1 species
CCUACGGGAGGCAGCAGUGAGGAAUAUUGGUCAAUGGACGAGAGUCUGAACCAGCCAAGUAGCGUGAAGGAUGACUGCCCUAUGGGUUGUAAACUUCUUUUAUAUGGGAAUAAAAUGUUCCACGUGUGGGCUUUUGUGUGUACCAUAUGAAUAAGGAUCGGCUAACUCCGUGCCAGCAGCCGCGGUAAUACGGAGGAUCCGAGCGUUAUCCGGAUUUAUUGGGUUUAAAGGGUGCGUAGGUGGAUUGUUAAGUCAGUUGUGAAAGUUUGCGGCUCAACCGUAAAAUUGCAGUUGAAACUGGCAGUCUUGAGUACAGUAGAGGUGGGCGGAAGUCGUGGUGUAGCGGUGAAAUGCUUAGAUAUCACGAAGAACUCCGAUUGCGAAGGCAGCUCACUGGACUGAAACUGACACUGAGGCUCGAAAGUGUGGGUAUCAAACAGGAUUAGAUACCCUAGUAGUC